GACAAACGCUGGCGGCGUGCCUAAUACAUGCAAGUCGAGCGGACUUUAUCCUUCGGGGUAAGGUUAGCGGCGGACGGGUGAGUAACACGUAGGCAACCUGCCUGUAAGACCGGGAUAACAUUCGGAAACGGAUGCUAAUACCGGAUAUGCAACUUGGCUGCAUGGCUGAGUUGGGAAAGACGGCGCAAGCUGUCACUUACAGAUGGGCCUGCGGUGCAUUAGCUAGUUGGUGAGGUAACGGCUCACCAAGGCGACGAUGCAUAGCCGACCUGAGAGGGUGAUCGGCCACACUGGGACUGAGACACGGCCCAGACUCCUACGGGAGGCAGCAGUAGGGAAUCUUCCGCAAUGGACGAAAGUCUGACGGAGCAACGCCGCGUGAGUGAUGAAGGUUUUCGGAUCGUAAAGCUCUGUUGCCUGGGAAGAACAGCCAGGAGAGUAACUGCUCUUGGAAUGACGGUACCUGAGAAGAAAGCCCCGGCUAACUACGUGCCAGCCGCCGCGGUAA
rnacentral:rRNA from 1 species